UCGACAACCUCCAACACGGUCAACCAUCGGACUGAUACCGACAAUCUAAGCUGUGCGUACGCACAUCUCCUCGCUUCGAUCAAAGAUCAGAGAGUAGAGAGAAUUGCGUUGUCAACAAACCGAAAUAAUCGACGAGAAACAGAUGAUCAAACAGCUGACCCAACUACCUAACCCACACUAACAAAUCCUACCACCCAAAUUACACCAAAGAUACACACCCCACAGUAAAAUCCGAACGGCGAUUGAUAACAGCCGCAGUGUAGUGUUCCGCUGAUUUCUUGUCUCGAGUGUCUCCCUUUCGUACCACCCACCCAACAUCCCACUAGGGUGCUGGUGAUGAACGAGAAAAGUGCAGUGUCUUUUAGAAUCCGACAAACGAUCGUGUGCAAAAUACGAUUAUCACAAGUUGAUUAAGAUCGAGCCCUGAGGAAGAUCCCAACCCAAGGAUCGAAACGUUGGCAAUGAUAUAGAAGUA